rnacentral:lncRNA from 1 species
UUUUAACAAAGGUGUGUGUGAAGAUGGAAAGUUUAAAAUUGGCAAAUGUUCCAAAAAAAAAAAAAAAAAAAGAUGCAAUUGCACACCGUUUACACUUUUUUUACGUUACAUAUACUACAAAAUGUAAUAAGAAAAACUGGCCAAGCAUCUUUCGAUUUUAUGCUAGCAAUUGUUAAACAAUUGGUGUAUCUGGCAUUGGCAAAAAUCUAUCGACUAUCCGACUGUGAAGGUCGAGCAUGGUUAAGCACUAAUGCUCAUCAUAAUCUAGAAUAGGUGUAGAGAAGACUCAUUUGUUCCAUUACUUCUGAGAAAAGCGAAAUAAUGAUUUUCAAACAAUAAUUACAGGUUUUAAACUCAUCCUAAUUGAAAAAUAAUAAAAUAACGGGCAAUUUUGUUAGAUUACGAAAGAUGUGAUGUAUGAUAAGUUAUUUGAACAUAUCCGUCUUCAAUUCGGCCAAUAAACCACCGAUAGAGCAAAAGCAACCUAAUUUAUUUUUGAUAUUGAACUGGGCGUAGAUCCAAUUUUUUAAUUAAAACGAAUGACGUAAUUUGUUUUCCAACCUGUUUAUAAUCGAUAUGCGUAUUCAAUUACAAUUUCCAAAUAAUUAAAAUUUAGUUAUUAUAAAUCACUUCCACUUAAAGUUAGGCUAUAGGCCUUCAGAAUCCCGAAGAUACAUACAGGCCUGGUUACACCGAUACUGUUUAACGCCUCCGCUUAUCGGUUUAGGGAAAUCUAGAUCUCAAAAAGGAAGUAAACGAAGCUUUACGCGGUUGACGAAUAGGACAAUCCUGUGACGCUUAAGAUGAUAAGAAUCGGUCUGGUGUCUGUUUUCGAUAAAGAUAUCGAUAAGAAGACUUAUUACAAUAAACAAUGUCAUCGACCCUUCACCCAGUUCAGACCGCUAACAAGAUGGGAGUAAAAUAAAGCAUUGAAAAAAAUUACUUUUUGAAAAAAGUGAAUAAAAUAGAACAAAGUUCGGAACUGUUGUUAGGUACCAAGUAGAUCUGUAUGGUUGGUUGCCAAUUAAUCUACCUUCUAAACAAGCGGAGUAAAUGGAUUCAGCCGAGCGCAUCGCCGGUCCGGUUGAGUCCAGUCGGGCCGUUGGACUGGUCCCCAAAUUGGUUUGGGGUCAUUCGUCGUUGACAGCUACCUAGGGAAUGAGUCAAGAAGAGUGCCUGUCGUCUUUUGUGUUACUCUUACUUCAGGACUACUUUCCUAAAGAAGAGAAAUUAAUUUCACCUUUUGAUAUAUUUUCUAUCCUCUUUUUGAAUGUCGGAUAAUGCAGAUUUACAACGUUAAAUUAAUGCAAACACCUGGAAGUAAAACAGAAUUUAUUUAGUCUGUUAAAAACAAACGUUUCAAGUUCUUUAUUUUAUAAAAAAUUAGUUAAAUUAGGCAAUGCGAUAGCUUUUCUGCACGCACUAUAUAUUAUAUACAGCAUGCUUAUUUAUGUAAGUUUUGUUCUAGUUAUAAGCAUAAAAUUCGACUAUGAUGAAAAUUUAAAGAUUUUUUUUUAUAUUUUAAAA